GUAGUCAUAUGCUUGUCUCAAAGAUUAAGCCAUGCAUGUCUAAGUAUAAACUGCUUAUACUGUGAAACUGCGAAUGGCUCAUUAAAUCAGUUAUAGUUUAUUUGAUGGUACUCUUUACUCGGAUAACCGUAGUAAUUCUAGAGCUAAUACGUGCGUAAAUCCCGACUUCUGGAAGGGACGUAUUUAUUAGAUAAAAGGCCAGCCGGGCUUGCCCGACUCUUGGCGAAUCAUGAUAACUUC
rnacentral:rRNA from 1 species